UACAGCUUGUAGUGUAGUGGUCAAAACUAUUGCCUUGGACCCAAAAGUUGCAGGUUGGAUUCCCACCUUCAGCUGUAG
rnacentral:tRNA from 1 species